CUUCCUGUGCAGAGAAGAAGAAGUAGGUUACACAAGGGAAGAAUGGCAGCUUACGGCGACUGUUGCUGGUGUUUUAACCCACUUUUAACCACUAGCGGCUGAUAAUUUUACCCAUUCUAGGGAAAAGUUAGCGUUUACUAAGCUUAUAUUUGUUCCGUGUCCGCGUCUUAGCUUGUGAAGUGCUAAUACGCUCCGUAAACUACACCGCUGUGUUGUAAAUGUGUAGGACAGAAGCGAAAUACAGGAUAAACAGACCCCUGUUUUCACACAAUCUUCAUUUAAUGCAGUAAUUCAGAGUUAGACAAAGCGGCUGAUAUCUUGGGGAAACAGGUGGCCUGUAAUUACCCUUUCAUGCCACCUUCUGAAGAAUAAAGCAGAAGUGAAUUGAGGAUAAUCCACUCGGCACCAAUAGUUCUUUCAAGGUACAUAUAGAUUAUAAUUAAAACAUUUAAAGAGUAGCAACAGUCUAGUGUCUGGGUUGCAGUUUAUAUUUGAAAGCUUCUAAGAUUAAUUUGUGCCACAUUAAUAGGUUUAAUCAUGUAAAACAGUUUUAUAUCAUGUUAAAGUUUUUUUCAUAAGUCUCUAUAUGUAGAACAAACUUGCAGUCCUUCUCUCCAAACUAUUUGGUCCAGCCAGAGUUUGUUUGUUUACAACUUGUGGUGGUCUAGAUUUCAGCCGAGCCCGGUUUAAAAAAAAUUGAAGCAGUGUUGUCUGAUGCCCCUGAUGUGCUGUGUUUUGCUUGCCCCUGUCUCUUAGCGUAUUUUCGGGAAGCCACUAACUUGCACUCUGCUCAUGAGACCAGCCCCUGUUUCCUUUUGGAAGGCGGGCCGUGUUUGCAUGGUCUGGCCCAAAAUAUUUGUUACCAGGCAACGAUUAGGCCUAUCCCACUUGAGAGCGGUGUUGUUUACACCCAUUCUGGCUCCAUGUCCCAACAACAUUGCAUAACUCUCACAGGCUUUCCCCACCUCACAGAGAGAAAUUUGAUCAGUCCUCCUCUGCAGCCAACCAAAAUGUCUCCUGCCCUCAUCCCAAAGUUUUUCUCUCAGCCACUCAACAGUUUCCUUCGGUCUUUGCUGCCUUCGCUCUGCACUCUUCCAGCCACUCAGAGCAAACAAAAACGAGACCGAGACGAGGAUUGUUUAUGAAGAAGAUAUGCAUGACUUGUCUUUCAGGAGUCUCACCAGUUGAACGCACAGUUGCUGGCAACCUUUGAUGUCACCUUCCCACGAACAGAUUUACUCACUUGGCUGCCACGUUCCUUCGACAACCAGCUGUGCUGCGCUUUAAUCCCAUUUUUCUGUCAUGGCAUGUUGUCCAAACUAACCACAGCAGAGAGGUCAUCUGAGGACAAACAGGUGAUCUAUCUAUCUAUCUAUCUAUCUAUCUAUCUAUCUAUCUAUCUAUCUAUCUAUCUAUCUAUCUAUCUAUCUAUCUAUCUAUCUAUCUAUCUAUCUAUCUAUCUAUCUAUCUAUCUAUCUAUCUAUCUAUCUAUCUAUCUUAGGAUUUGUUUCUUUUUCCUCAAAACUUCAAAUUCAUAUUCUUAAUUACAAAUGUAUACAUGGACAUUUAGCCCUUUUUUACUCGUAUUGUCACCGUCUAUAUUCAGCAUCCAGGUUUUCUUCAAAAUCACUGACAAUUUUAUGUGUCCAAAAAGCUACAAUCAGCAUUUCUUUCCACAGAAAAUCACACCAAGCACAACAACAUAUAGACCAUUUCAUCUUAGAUCAGUGGACAUGAGGAUUUUUGUGGACAUAGCUGUGCAACCGGCCAGCUUUUUACAUUUUUUUUUUU